CAUAACUCUGGCAAGUGGCAACCACAACUUUAAGCAAGAAACAAUUGUCCGCCGCUUCCAGCAUGAUUGGCUCGAAGAUCACAGACGGCCCAUCCGUAUAGCACCACGGUUUUGGCUUCGGCUUUGGUGUAAUGCUUUUGGUUUUUGCUUACAAUUAGGAUAUUCUCAAAUAUCUUUUGGUGUAUAUUUUUGGCUAUUAUUCCUUUUUCUAGAUAGAUACAAAUCUCUUAUUGCGUUUUUCUAUAUAUAAGUCGAUGUAAACCAAAGGGAGAAUAGGGAGAAUAUAUAUAAAGAAAAAUUGUGCCGUUCGUUCAGCGUUACCAUCACCAAUCACCAGUUCUUCCACCGUAAAUGUUACGAGUAGCUGCCUCCAUCAAAUGAUUCAUCCAUAGAUCUCAUCGUAGAGCAUCUGGGUGUGAGAGUCCUCCGCUCUAGACUUAGAUUGCCUUGAGGGUUUGAUCCAUUUUAUAAGGAUAAUCAAAUCUAAAACUAAGGGAAGAAGAAGCAGCAGUAAGGAAAGCGAUUUCUGGAAACUUCAUCCAAUGCCUUCGCUAUCGGACUAGCUAGUCCGGAGAAUCCAAUCACUGGUGCCAUCUUCACCGCCGAUAAAACCACCACCUUCUUGUCUUCUUACUUGUUAUACACGAAAAACAAUAGGUUUCCGAGUCCUAACUACACAAAACUACUAGCCAUCGUAGGGUUUAACAUGUAUCUCAUGUUCAGGCCAUGGUGGUCUGCGCAAAGAUCAACGGUAUACAACUUCGUAUUCGAAGCGGCGGUCAUGACUAACUAGUAACUACUAAGGCGUUUCUUACAUGUCGUCUAUGCCAUUUGUUAGUCUUGAUAUGUUCAAUCUCAGAUCUAUUACUGUUGACGUGUCAAGUAAGAAAGCAUGGGUUCAAGCUGGUGCAACCUUGGCAUUUGCCUACCUUGCCUAUGGGUAGAGUCCGUAGAGACGGGCCUGGUAGUAACGUACGUCUUUUGUUGUUGUUUGUUGUAGUAUAACGUCUCUCUUUCCUUAGAUGUUCUAUCAAUGUAAUGAGUUACGUUAUGUGGCCAUGUGAUGUUAUUUAUAGCUUAUGUAGUUUUUUACUAUUGUCAAUAAAGCUUUUCAUGAAAUGGAUA